rnacentral:rRNA from 1 species
AUUGAACGCUGGCUGCAUGCUUUACACAUGCAAGUCGAACGGUAACAGGCCGCAAGGUGCUGACGAGUGGCGAACGGGUGAGUAAUGCAUCGGAACGUGCCCAGUCGUGGGGGAUAACUACUCGAAAGAGUAGCUAAUACCGCAUACGGUCUAUGGAUGAAAGCGGGGGACCGUAAGGCCUCGCGCGAUUGGAGCGGCCGAUGUCAGAUUAGGUAGUUGGUGGGGUAAAGGCUCACCAAGCCAACGAUCUGUAGCUGGUCUGAGAGGACAACCAGCCACACUGGGACUGAGACACGGCCCAGACUCCUACGGGAGGCAGCAGUGGGGAAUUUUGGACAAUGGGCGCAAGCCUGAUCCAGCAAUGCCGCGUGCAGGAAGAAGGCCUUCGGGUUGUAAACUGCUUUUGUACGGAACGAAACGGCUCUGGUUAAUACCCGGGGCUAAUGACGGUACCGUAAGAAUAAGCACCGGCUAACUACGUG